rnacentral:lncRNA from 1 species
UAGAAUGUCUCGCACAUUAACCGUUCAGUUGCUCCUGAAGAAUCACUCAAAUUUUCUCAUUCUCAAUACUUUCCUUAGCAUCGGAUGCUCCAGGUGUCCAUAGCCACCGAGCUCAACUCAAGUGAUAGAGAGGGUUCCAUCCACAAUUCAAAAAUAGAUCUUCAUCAACGUCACCAUAACGUGACCAGCAGCCAAACGUCCAUCCAAACAGCUCUUUUACGCAGUUCCCAAUUCCAAGAUCUGGAUUCCUAGUGCAUAAACCGGACAAGGGAAAAUAGCAACUUGGUACUUUUCCUUCUCGAGUUUCCCAACCACUCGAUUCAACAGCGAGAGUUUCACACCUUGAUCGUGUCAAUUUGUCUCUGCAG